rnacentral:rRNA from 1 species
CCUACGGGCGACAGCAGUAGGGAAUAUUGGUCAAUGGAGGAGACUCUGAAGCAGCAACGCAGCGUGGAGGAUGAAGGCUCUCGGAUUGGUAACUCUCUUUGUUAGAGAAGAUAAAGAUGGUAUCUAACGAAUAAGCACCGGCUAACUUCGUGCCAGCAGCCGCGGUAAUACGGCGGGUGCGAGCGUUACGCGGAGUAGCUGGGCGUAAAGCGCGCGUAGGCGGGAUAGCAAGUCAGAUGUGAAAUCCUAUGGCUUAACCAUAGAACUGCAGUUGAAACUGGUAGUCUAGAGUAUGGGAGAGGUAGGCGGAAUUCUUGGUGUAGGGGUAAAAUGCGUAGAGAUCAAGAGGAAUACUCAUUGCGAAGGCGACCUGCUAGAACAUAACUGACGCUGAUGCUCGAAAGCGUGGGGAGCAAACAGGAUUAGAUACCCGAGUAGUC